AUGCGGAGGGUGCAAGCGUUAUUCGGAAUCACUGGGCGUAAAGGACGCGUAGGCGGGUUGGCAAGUCAGAUGUGAAAUCCUACAGCUUAACUGUAGAACUGCAUUUGAAACUGCUAACCUAGAGUAUGGGAGGGGGAGAUGGAAUUAGUGGUGUAGGGGUAAAAUCCGUAGAUAUCACUAGGAAUACCGAAAGCGAAGGCGAUCUCCUGGAACAUAACUGACGCUAAGGCGUGAAAGCGUGGGGAGCAAACAGGAUUAGAUACCCUAGUAGUCC
rnacentral:rRNA from 1 species